rnacentral:lncRNA from 1 species
ACUAUAUUACCGCCGGUACACAUCCGCCCGACACUGAAACUUUUCCUUUUGCAUGGUAGCCACGACCGCCCACAGUGAGGCGGCUGUAGCCCGCUUCCGCCCUUACAGACACCCCAGGACGCGACCGAGACAGGAGGGCUGAUGUUCCUUUUGAAGAAGAGUUCAGAAAAAGGAUGGUAUCCUGUGAAGGAAAGCCGUGACAGAGGCCCAAGGAGAUGGAGCCAAGGCCUGUCAAGGAAGAAAAGGACUUUUCCCACCAAGAGUUGGAGAAAGAAGACACCAGGACUACUUCUUCCUCUUCCCAGUGGGUGGCAGCACGGAUCUCUAAGAGCUGGCCAGGUGCUCCACCUGGAUGGUGCUGGUGGUGACAGUGAGGCAGAUGUCCUUAUGAUGCUCCGCCGUCUUAUACGGGGUCAGGUCAAAGGAACACUGGGGUGGAGGGUUGGGAUUGCUGUCCCCACCACCCCCACCCUGGGGGGCUGCCCCAGGAGACUGGAAGUGUGGUGGUGGCUGUUGCUGCUGCUGCUGCUGCUGCUGCUGCUGCUGCUGCUGCUGCUGUGAUGCCUGGGAGGCCUGGGCCUGGGCCUGGGCUUGAGCCUGAGCCUGAGCCUGGGCUUGAGCUUGAGCCUGGGCCUGGGCCACUGCUGCCGCUGCUGCUGCUGCCUGCACCUGUUGCUGAAGAUCAGGCGGGUUGUGUUUGCGCAUAUGUUUCAUAAGGGCCCUCUGCUAAGAUGAGCCAAGGACUUGAGGGUGCAGUGACACCUGCUCCUCAUCAGCGACUUCAGAACCAUCUCUAUGACCAGGUGCUUUUCGGGACCUCUGGUAUAAAAUCUCAAAAACAUCACAGGACGUGUCUCUUAUUUGUGAGGAAAGCCUGACUCCUCCUCUUCUCAAAGCAAGAUGUCUGAUCACUUUAAGGUGAGAUCAUCACAUCCACAAGAAGCCGGGUGAGACGGUCUAUGGCCUGUAAGUCUGGACUCCAGUUCAACUUGAGAUAGCACCAAAGAUCAUCACUUCUAGUUGGCAGGUUCCCUUCUUCCUAGUCACUCCAGAUUCACGGGAUAAACACUGGGCAUCUUUAUGAAGCAUAAGCGUUUUCAUUUUCUGUUUGCUGAUUCUCUCUGAACAUUUAGUACGUGUUUUCUUUUGUUCUCUACUCCUGGCAUCCCUCAGAGCCUUGCUUGUUGCUGUGGGUGUCACCAGGCUGGUGCCCAGCUAAUGUCUGAUUUUAUUUCCUGUUCAUAAUUGGUGCCCUAAGGGCUAGAGGUAUGGUCUUCUCCACUCAAAUGCCUCUGUUUUGGCAUCAAGGGGCAAAUCUUCCAAGAUGGGUACAUGAGUAUUUUCAGGGAGGAAAAUUAGAG